UAAACUAAAAAAAAUAAAAAAACAAAAAAAAAACAAAAGUAACAGCAUUGCUUCAUCGUCCUCCUCUCUCACUUCACUCAGCUCUCUCAAACCCCACGUUUUUCUCAAACGCUCUCAAUCGCACUCAAUCGUCUCUCCCGCGUCCAAACUCUCUCUCGCGUCCAAGCUCUCUCUCUCGUUCCCAAUCUCAAUCGCUCUCAAUCUCUCUCUCGUCCAAACAGCAUGAAAGUUUGAAAGGAAGCUCACCUUCGGUGAAUCGGUAGCUCAGAUAGGGUUUUGAGUUUGAUGCUCAAUGGUCCAAUGGAGAAUGUUUUCAGAAGUGCUUUUGGAUGCUAAGAAUUGGAGUGCCUUCUUUGAUCAUUGGACUCAGAAAGUGACUUAAAUGGAGCAUUGAUUUUUAACCGCCUUCGACCAUGUGAAGGAAUUUGUAGACAUCCAUCUAAGUGAAGCAGUACCAAUAACACCUCCAGCCGGUAGACCAUCAACGAAGGGCAUCUUGAAGAUGUUGAUCGUCUAUGAUGAUGCUCCACUUCUUAAGAACUCGAAAUGGGAAAAGCAGGUGAAAUAUUCAGAAAGUCUGCAUUUGAAGCAUCUGUACUAACUUUACUAUGUGCGAACUUCAACAGGUACAGGAGGAAUGGCCGCACGGCAUCUUUGAAAUUGAGAAGGCAAACAAGGACUCUCCUGGGAUUUGCUUUCUAAUGGAUGGUUAAUCGUGUUCAAAUCAUCCCCAUCAAUUGCUAUAUCUGAGUCACUUUGAUCAUCUUCCUCGGAACCGGAUGGAUUUCCAUAUGCUAUAGCCAACAGCGCAAAAGUCGUGUUUCCUUUUUCAGUAUUUGAAGCUUCCAUAUAACUUUGAUCAGCAAUUUGUGCCUGUUGUUCAGAAGACUCAAUAGGAACAUCAUAUAAAUCAUUUCCGGCAAUUCUGUUUUGUUCGUCCUGGAUACGUGCCCUGCUCGGGAAUGCUUACAUCUUCAUGCACAGCAGUAAACUUAUUUCUAGUUACUCCAGAAUCAAUUGUCCCAUCAUUAAAGAAGCUACAAUCAACUGACAUUAGGUUUGGAAAUAUUGGAUGGCUGGCAUGCUAGCAUUGAGUUGGCAACAGGUGUUUCAAAUGGGGGAUGGGAUGAUGCUAGCAGGAUUAAUACCAAUUGAGUUGGUCAAAGCCAAAUUUCAUGUGGUCAAUGUAAUGGAUGUCCAACCUUGCAAAUCCACUGCCCUGGAUCGCUGCAGUCCUAAUGUGGUGUUGUACAGGACCAAGGUUUUGAUGAUGUAUGUCUACUGUUUUGGCCAUGAUUGGCAUGAAUCCAUAGGGUGAUGAUAGGGUCGUGGCUGCUACAGGACCAUGAUUGCAGGAUACUUGCCAAGGGGUCCAAUUAACUGCAAAGAGCAACUGACUAGUAGCUUCAAAUGUGGUCAAUACAGAUUGAAUAACUCCACGCCCAUACAAACAAUUCAGCAGAACAGGAUUGCAAGAAUCUGGCCUCUCCAUUAAAAUAAUAUCAAAAAAAAAUCCAUGACUUUGCCAAAAUAACGGCAUUUUGUUGAUAUUGAAGCUUCAGUUACAUGGCCACCAAAAUUCAUGUGAUCUAAAGCAAUGCAUGCAAGAGUAGAAGCCACUGAUUUUGAAGCAGGGCUUACGCUCACAAUAUCAUCACGUCGGCGAGAAAGUUGCAGCAUUAUUUUUUCCAACUCUUGGAACAGAUGGGUUAUGUGAAAUGAAAGUGAUCUGACCAUGUCACAAUAAGAAGCAUAAUGCGUCCUCUGCUUGUCACACUCCUUAUUAUUAUCCCCAGAAACAUCCACAGACCCUGCAUGAUUCAACUGAUUACUGGAACCUAACCGCCUGUUUGAAGAACCAAUAGAAUUUGUUUGGUGUGGAGAACCAGUGGCACGGCCCAAAUCUCGAUAGAGGUUAAUAAGAUCAAAAAACUGUGAUUCUAUUCCCCAGCCUGAUGUCCUCCGUCUGAGUAAUGGAUCAAGAAUCUGCCUGAAAGAAUUGAACCUUUGAUCUUCAGUUUCGUGUGCAUCGGCUUCAGCCUGUUGUGAAUCAGUUAAAGAACUAGCAACAUCAUCCUCUAUCUCACGCUUUGUAUUUUCAAGUAGAGAGAUUUGCUACAAAAUUUCACGGUGGACAUGACCAAUGUUUUCAAGAACAUCCUUGCUGUCAUUUCCAAAUUCUGUAAGCAAAGCAGUCAUCCAGCGGCUGUCUUUUGAAGCAGCAAGAAAGAGAAGGAACUCGACCAGGAAAAGUGAAGAAAAUGUGUUGCAGCAGCUAAUCUGAUAUGAGCCUUGUCGUUUUCACUAUCAACGAAAUCAUCAGUCUCCCGUAGCAUUCUUGAUAAAAUAUCCAUGAGUCCAUUAAUGUUCUGCUUCGUGUGUGUCGUCACUAAUUAAUACUCCUGUUGUUUGAGUGGUCUCAAUGAUGGUGCCAAGUGGAAAAGAACCUUCUAAGCUUAUUGCCAUAUUUAGAACACAUCCAGCACGCUCGAUGCUCCAUGGAGGGGUAUCACUCCAAAUCCCAACAAAAUCCACACGGAUGGGUAAUUCUACUUUAAACUUUCUAGGAUGGAAAGGCUGAUGAAUGUAAUCAUUAUGAUGGCUGUUAAUCUGAUGUUAUGUUAAUUAUUGUUUAUGUUUGUAGAAAAAAAAUAUUCCAAUUCAGAAAUCCAAAUUCAAGUCAAUAUUUUCUGGUUU